GUCCCUGUAGUAUAUCACACAUUACCCUGGUCUUGUAAACCAGAAAAGGGGGAAAAACAUUCCCCCCAAGGACU
rnacentral:tRNA from 2 species